rnacentral:lncRNA from 1 species
CAGUGAGAAGGCAGCCAUCUAUCUACCAAGGAGAGAGGCCUCAGGAGAAACCAAGCACCUUGCAGACAGCUUGACGUUGGGCUUCCCAGCCUCCAGAACUAUCAGGAAAUUAAUUUCUCUUUUUAAGCCAGAAAGUCUAUGGUAUUUUGUUAUGGCAGCCCAAGCAAAAUAAUACAACAACCUAUAACUUUAAUAUGAUUUUUAUCACCAUCUUACAAAGGGCAAAACAGUCUCAAGAUCGUAUGAAACUUGCCCAGCACAAAUGACAAAGCUGAAGUUUGAGAGUCAGUUGUCUGACUCCAGAAUACAAACUCUUAGCAUUAUGUCCAGUUGCUUCUCUUCCAUGCUCCACUACGUAUGUGCAUAGCCUAUUUAUUGCUGCAUAGUAAUACAGCCCACAACCUAAUGGCUUAAAACAGCAACACUUAUUUUGCUUAAGCAACAGAAAUUUGGUGUCAGCUGAGGUCUAGCUCUCUCUUGUUUGGUCACUGAUGCUGUCUGUCAGGACCUAACUGGACCUGUUGAUCCAGACACUUCAUGUGGCCUCUCUUAGGUGGCUGAGCUUCUUCCUAACAUAGCCAUGGGCUCCAAGGUGAGAAUCCUGAGAGGCAGAGCCCAGCAGAUGCUGUAUCACCUUUUCUACCCCAGCCUUGGAAGACACACAGCAUCACUUUCAUUAGAAUCCAAUCGCUAAAGCCAGCCCAUGUUCAAGGGAAGAGGAAUUUGAUGCUACCUUUUGAUAGGAGGAGUGCCAAGAAAUGAACCUGCCUACAUGUUUUAAAACCACUAUAGCACAUGCGCUGUUGACAGAGUUGUCCAUGUUUUACGACAGGUGUUUAUUUACCAGCAGCACCAUAUCACUGAAAGAGCAUCAAGCUGGGGGUCCAAAGCCCUGAGCAAUAGUCUUUCAGCUGCAAGGGGCCAGGAUUCUACAACCCAUGCAUGGAAAGAAUAGGACCUGCUUUGGGUUCAGCCACCCUCUUCUCUGUGGGACUUAGGACACUUAACUCCAUUCCAGUCUCUAAAACAAACACUGAUCUCCAUCAAAAGGAGUUUUAGGAUGCUGCUCUUCUGAUGCUCCAUGUGUCUCUGUUAUAACUUGAGUCCUACCUUGUCCCGGUGCCCAAGCCACUGUCCAGAAAACGUAGCAAGCCGUGUAGUACUGAGCACUUCCUUUGGUGGCAGACACUACCACUGGCACUUCAUGUUUAUUUCAUUAAGCUCUCCUUUUAACCUGAUGAAGUAAGUAAUAUUAUACUCCCCAUUUUAUAGAGAAACUAAUGCUCAGGGGAGGUAAGUCAUUGGCCCAAAAGUUAGUAAAGGACAGAGCCAUAACUCUAGGCUGUGCCCUGAACAGUUCUAUCUCCUCCAGGACCCCUGCCCAACAUCCAGGCCCUGUUGACAGGCUUCCUGCACAGCCCAGCUGCCUGCCAGGACAUCUGAUGGUUUCUGGAUUGGUCCCCUCUCUGCCCCACUGAACUUUUGGGGACUCGCCAUGCUCCUUGUUGGACUUUAUCUCUGCACCCCCUGCAUCAUGAGCUACUCACUCACCAGACUCUUAACUAGAAAUGGCUGUCAUACUGGGUUCGCCCUCCUGAUCUACAUCUAAGCCUUUCAUGUCUGUCCCACCCAUCCUGGUAACUGGAGAGUACCCUGGCCUGGAUAGAGAGCAAAACCAAGCAAAACAGCAUCACAAUUGAAAAAAAAGCGGAGGAUCCAGAGUCAUACCAAGCUAGAUCCAAGUCCUGACUCCACCAUUUAUUACUUGUAGGCAAAAAUAAUGAGACCCACGUUGCCAUAUUGUGAGGAUUGAGUUAAUACAUGUACAGGACUUAGCACAGUGCCUGAUACAUAGUAAAUGCUUAAUAAAUAUUAGUCAUCUUUGCUGUUGUUAUUAUCAGUAAUAUUUGUAAAAGAUCCACUAGAGAGCCUAGCAUAUGGUAGGCAUUCAAAAAAUGAUAGCUGUUAAUCUCAUUGUUUAAAUCCUGGAAAAGCUACAGGAAUUCAGCGAAGGGCCAGAUAACAAGGUAGCGAAGACAGAAAACAGGCUGCCCAAGCAACUGUGCAGCUCUGCAGAUCUCUGCCUAAGCCUCGAGCUUGGGUAUGACUGGCCUUGAUUAAGUGGAAACGCCCCUUCCAGAGCUCACAUCUUCAUCUCUCUCAAUUAGGAGAUGACAAGAGCUUCCUGAGCUUGGAAGCCCCCGGGAAAAGAAAUUUCAAGAAAGAAUAUCAGAAAACAAUCUUUGUCUGUGCUCCGGCCCAGCAUCCCCUGUUGUGGCAGUGCAGACCACUGGCCACCACAUCCUGCUUUGCUCAUCCAGUUGUCUUACUGAUCUAUGGUUUCACAGGCUUCAUCUGAAGCUGCAAGUUCUUAAAAGGCUGGUGAAUGUGGUCAGAAUAUGUAUAGGUCUCCCAACUUCAAAUCCUCUCCAGGUUGAGCUGUAACAAGGACAGCAAGCAGGUGGACAGCAAGCAAUCAUCAUGUUUAUAAGAGGUGGGCCAUCACACACACACACACACACACCCCUUUGAGCAUUUGGGAGCUGAUGUACUGGUAGUGUCCUCUUCCACUGCAUUGUUCCUGCUGCUAUAUCCCUAGGGUUCUCUGGUCUAGACCCACCAGUGCUUGCAGAUCCUGAGCCAGUGCUGAUCAAGCCGGGAGGAGAGUGGGGGAGCAGAUUACCAAGUUUGAACAAACCAUGGGAGUUCUCUUGUGGCACAAUGGGUUAAAGACCUGGCAUUGUCGUUGCAGUGGCUUGGGCCACUGCUGUGGUGUGGGUUCAAUCCCUGGCCCAGAAACUUCCACAUGCCUUGGGCAUGGCCAAAAAAAAAAAAAAAAAAAGUUUGAACAGACCCAGUGGCUUAGAAUAAUGUCACCAGAUCAGUUACAACUGCUUGGCUCCUAUGUUCCUCAUGAUUUUCCUUCAAGCCAGAUGAUCAAUGAGGUGACAGAUACAUUCUCCAGACCACUCUCAUUUCCAUCUUCCAAUCAGACAUGGAUCUGGUGCCCUCUGGGAUGACCUUGAAGAGCCCCCAUUACUGCUCAUGUUGCCUGGGAUCUGAGCUCUCCCUUCUCUGCUCCAGGCUUUGCCCUCUCCUGAAUACAAAACUCCUUCUGCCUCGGUUUCUAGUGCCUAAUUUUGCCUCAAAUCCAGUUCUCCUCUAUAUCAGUCAGCUAUUGCUAGGAUAAUACUGUAAAAUAAUCCUGGAAGCUUACUAGCUUAUAAAAACAAAUGGUUAUUUUUCUCACAGUCUGUGGAUUGGGUGGAGUGGCUCUGAUUCAGGCUGUGGGUCAUUGAGAGAUCAGCUCCAUUUGUCACUCAUUCUGGGACCACCAGCUACCUGGGCAGGCUCACCUCAUCAUGGAUAGAAGAAACACAAGAAAAGGCCAGUGGAAACUUCCCACGACUCUUAAGUCCUUAUCUCAGAACUGGCCACUGUGAAAUCCACCCAUAUCCACUGGCCAAGGCCAGCCAAAUGGCCAAGCCCAAAGUCCAAUGGAUGGGAAAACUCCAUUUAUACUAGUAGGAUUACUACUUAUUUUUAUAAGUAGAGCACUUAUAAUAAUGCUCCGCUUAUUUUAGCAGGGCGUGUGCGAAGUCAUAUGGCAAAGGGCAUGAACAGAUAAUUCUAUGACAGGGAAGGAGGGAAGAAUUGAGAAUAAUAACACAGUCUCCAACAUUUCUUAAACCAGAACCCUGUUAUGAGCUCAAAAGUGAAUUCCUAGCUCCUAUUUGCCUGCCAGGCCUCCUUACCCCAGCUCAGGCUUAGGGGCUGGCUCUGUGUGGACUCAACUCCCCCAUGGAGAACCCCCUUGCCCACUUGACUGCCAGCCAUCGACUGUCAAUCGCCUCUCUUGCUGUGAUUUACCCUGACUGCUCCUCCAAAAACCUUCAAGAAGCCUACCAGCCUGAUCAGCUCCUUGGUCCCUAGUAUAUCCUGGCUUCAGAAGGUUCUGGGAAGAAUUUGGAGGCUGAAAAACUACUGGGAAAGCAAGGCAGCUUCUCUUGCUCUCUCACUGUCCCCUGCUCUAUGUUUUCUCUCUCUGUGCUCUCUUCACAUCUGCACAUCAUUUUUUCCUCUGGAAACCAGCUUUUUCUGCUCCUCCACUGACGUGGUGGAAUAGGGUCUGCUCCAGCCCUGGGGCUAUAGAAGCUCCCACUUCCAGCACCAUUACCCAGCUCUGUCUCACUUCCAAAAUCCCAGGGAAAUACCCCAGUCAAUCCUGGCCGGGAUCACAUAGCACAAACAUUGUUACCCGCCCCCUCUCCAAGGAAGAAAAGAGAAGUACGGGCUGCCAGACACCAAAAAAAAG